rnacentral:rRNA from 1 species
CCCCUAGACGUUCUGGGCUGCACGCGCGCUACAAUAAUACGCACAGCGAGUAUCACCGAGCUCGAAAGGGCAAGGUAAACAAUAGAAAAGGUACUGUAAUGGUUAUAGAUCCUUGUAAUUAUUGAUCUUCAACGAGGAAUUCCUAGUAAGUAUGUGUCAUCAUCACGCACUGAUUACGUCCCUGCCCUCUGUACACACCGCCCGUCGCUCCUACCGAUUGGGUGAGCCGAUGAAACUCUCGGAUGUAGGCUAUUCAUAGCCCGCAGAAGAGAUUUGAAUCGUAGCGCUUAGAGGAAGGAGAAGUCGUAACA